rfam:Gossypium raimondii chromosome 10, whole genome shotgun sequence.
AUACCAUGAUGAGGGCAUUUUUGUAAUAAUUUCUUAAAUCUCUCCCAUGCCUCAUAUAAGGAUCCAUCACUCAAUUGUUGAAAUGUAGUGAUCUCGUUUCACAACUUAGUAU